UACGGGGGGGGCAAGCGUUGUUCGGAAUUACUGGGCGUAAAGGGCUCGUAGGCGGCCAACUAAGUCGGAUGUGAAAUCCCCAGGCUUAACCUGGGAAUUGCAUCCGAUACUGGAUGGCUUGAAUCCGGGAGAGGGAUGCGGAAUUCCAGGUGUAGCGGUGAAAUGCGUAGAUAUCUGGAGGAACACCGGUGGCGAAGGCGGCAUCCUGGACCGGCAUUGACGGCUGAGGAGCGAAAGCCAGGGGAGCGAACGGG
rnacentral:rRNA from 1 species